ACUUUAUAGUGCACAGUGUUUUCGUAUCUAUCACUGGAGUCUCAACAAUCUAGUUGCUCCUUAAGCGGGCAGCAAGGAUCAGUGUGCGAUGUCGGCUGGCUUACUAAUUGUUGUGCCUUUAGAUUUAGGAAUACCUAGCGUAUACCUAUUUUUCAGAACAGAACAAUAAGGCAGAUAGUCUUAUACAUAUUCAUUCAUUGGUUUGUAUGCAGUCAGUCCUAGCAGGACCAUCGCAGCUACAAACAGAAGCUGGAUCUGGAGGUGAGCUGUUCUAGGCAUUGUUUUGGUGAAUCAUGUGAUUUACUUUCUUUUGAGCUCAGUUUUUGAUCUGCAGACACUGAAAUCCCACUGGUCUCUUCCCUGGCCUGGGGAAUUCAGGGAGAAACAGGAGGGAAGACAUAGCGGGAAAAGCUGAUGCUCCCCCCUCGAAAGCUUCAGGAACUAUUUUUAAACAUGAAGGCCACGGUAUCAUUUGCCCUGUGCUCGCCUUUCACCCUCCCAGUGAGGACCCUCGUAACAUUCUGCUUGCUUUGGGGUUCCUACAGAUAACAUCUCCCUGGAGCCUGGGUCACCAUGGUAAUGGGUGUUUGAGCUGUGUUUCAGGAAUUAGAACCCCUUGUCCACUUCAGACCGGUUGAGACGACCAAUCCAUCAACUGGGCUCAAGCAGAUGUCCGAUAAGCGACCUUUGGACGUCAAGAGGCUAAAAACUCCCCCCUCAGGGCCACAGCUAAAAAGAAGAUGGUCCUUUCUCCUGGAGACUCAGAUAUGAGAUUUAUGGAUGGGCGGGGGUCUAUAAUUCCAGCGUCACUGCUGAGGGUGAGAUGACCAUCUUGGCCACCGACAUGAUUGCUCUCAACCAUCCCUUCAUUCCAAGGCCAUGGCUGCUGAAAAUUACAACCCCGGAAAAGUUGUCUGAGUUUUGAGAGAGGAGUGGACUUCUUCUCUCAUGAACCCUAUAGGCAGUCUGCUGCUUUCAUAUAUAAAACCUUCCUGAAAGCAUGAAAGCAAAUUGAAUAUCAAAAAUAUAAGCAUCAUUCAAGUCGACAGGAAAAAGUAGCAUCACCUGGAGAUGUACGUAUGGAGGUGGAGAGAGACAUUUGCUCUCAGUCCAGGAGCACUGCUGGGUGUGGGCUGCGUUCCAGCAUGUGGGUGAUGAGACGACUGAGGCAGCCUGUGCCCCCGAAGAGCUCAAAUGCGUUUUGCAUGAUACUGAGAGUUCAAAAAUAAAAAGUGGA